rnacentral:rRNA from 1 species
UAGUCCAUGCUGUAAACGAUGGAUACUAGUCGUCGGAACACCUAAUAGUUUCGGUGACGUCGCUAACGCAUUAAGUAUCCCGCCUGGGGACUACGAUCGCAAGAUUAAAACUCAAAGGAAUUGACGGGGGCCCGCACAAGCGGUGGAGCAUGUGGUUUAAUUCGAUGCUACGCGAAAAACCUUACCUGGAUUUGACAUCCCACGCUACCUAGAGAAAUUUAGGGUUCCCUUUUGGGACGUGGUGACAGGUGCUGCAUGGCUGUCGUCAGCUCGUGUUGUGAGAUGUUGGGUUAAGUCCCGCAACGAGCGCAACCCUCGCCGUUAGUUACCAUCAUUAAGUUGGGCACUCUAACGGGACCGCUAGGCUAUAAGCCAGAGGAAGGUGGGGAUGACGUCAAGUCCUCAUGGCCCUUAUAUCCAGGGCUACACACGUGCUACAAUGGGAGAGACAAAGCGCAGCUAACUCGCAAGAGUGUGCCAAUCGCAAAAACUCUUCCUCAGUUCGGAUUGG